CCGUGGAAUCCAAUGCCAUGAUCAUUCUCAAACUGAUGUAAACAAGGGCGCGGAUCUGGCGUGGUGAAUUGACUAAUUGCAUCAAAUUUGUUUUCCUCAUCUAGAUCAAAUUCAGAUUGAAUCCCAAAAUCUACUCAUAUACAACAAUUGGAUAGCUCGAAUGCAAAUCUCGCUUUCCCUCAUGGAGAUCAAUGCCAUGGAAUCUGGCAAACUGAUGCAAAGAAGUUAAGGCAUGGAUCUGGCAUGGUCAAGGGGCUUAUUACCCCAAAUUUGUUUUCAUCAUCUACAUGAGCUGAAACAUGAGGCGUGUAUCUAUAGUGCAUCGACAACUGGAAAAACCUGCAGAUUGGAUGCGAAAGAGGACGGGACUGUGUUAUCUGGGGUGAUGCUCCGAUGAAAGUGUCAUCGCCCGAUGAGCCGAUGGUGAGUACGGCCCGAGGAAGAUCCAAGAGCUUAUUUGAUCUAACAUGUAUAUCUGAUGCUGAAGAAGACCGGACUGCAUAGGCUAAGUUGAUGAGGGCGCCCUUACCUGAUGAGCCGAUAGUGAGUACUGGCCAGUGGCAGCUCCAUGAGCUUCUCUAAUCUAAUAUGUAUGU